GAGGGUUUGGCUCAGUGGUAGAGCACUUGCCUAGCAAGUGUGAGGCACUGAGUUUGUCCUCAGCACCCUUC
rnacentral:tRNA from 1 species